AUGCUUCAUAGCCCUUAGCUAUGAAGUCCAUAGCUAUCUGGCAAGCUUGGAGUAAAAGCCUAUAGCUUUUACUAUUCAAUUUAAUUUCUUUUUAUUCAGAGUAUGUAUUUCAAUUUAUCAUUAACUGCUGGAUGAAAAGACAGACAAGGAAUGCUUGAAUUUCUGGACUACCAAGAGGUCCACAAAGACAGAUUCCUGUUAUGUGCAUUAUUGGUAUGCUGGACAACCUUUGGAAGGUCAGUAUACCAUAAAACUGUAGUAAAUUACUUCAGUCAAUAACAAAAAUACAAUGAAUGCCAAACUAGGGACUCUA
rnacentral:lncRNA from 1 species